ensembl:lincRNA
UCGCGUGAUGGUCACCAGCUGCCAGAGCUCUUUCUAAAACUCCAGACUGAUCACCUCACUCCUCGGCCUCCUCUUCUGUCUCCCCCAAGAGACAACACACCGACGUGAUUUCAUUAACCCUGGAUUUAAGGUAUGAACACUGAGGCCGGGGAGCUAAGAGCCAGGCCUCCCCUCCCCACACCGGGUCAGUCUGCGAGUUCAAGUUCCAGCUGGAACAAGGGCCUUGGCUUCAAAAUGCCUGAGGCCAGAGAUCUUUUACACUAUGUCAAGCUGGCAAGAAACAUCUCCCUCCACCCAGCCCCACUGCGACAGAUAGCAACUGCGUUUCCUAGCCAAGGUAUUUUCUCACAAGAUUACAGGAGCAGAAGGCUUCCCCGUGCAGCAGCCCCUUCUCCAAGCACACACAUCAAGAGUCUGCUGGCCACGUCUUGUCUCUCCCUCGUGCUGGAGGAGGGCCUCUGGAAGGAACGACACUCAGCUGGGAGCAGCGUUCCCUGACCUUCUCGAAAGGACAAGAGCCAGGUUUGGGGGAACUGUGGGGACUCAUGGGAUGGUCUGGCCCAGGCUGCGAGGGAUGAACUCCUAAAUGAGCCAGCGGCUCCCAUCGGCAGCCCUGGUGACUUUCAGCGGGGAGGGGGAGUGCUCCUCUUCCCUCCGGGCUCUCGAGGAGAAUGCCGGGAGUUGCUCGCCCCCCUGAGAGGGAGAGAACCAGCCCACUGCGGCACCUGUGCCCAGAAAGUUCCAUAAGUGCAGAAGGACCUCCUGAGAGAAGAAGCAUGGAUGCCAGUUUGAAGUGUUGGUUUUCUGCACUUGGAUUCCCUCCUCAAAGCCUCAAGAUCUCACCAUGUCUGGUCAAACACUGCAUCUUGGCAUGAAGCAUGCUUUGAGGAACCGGAGAAUGGUGGUGUCCACUUCUGGGUGAAGGGCCUAGACACAGGGCAGUAGCUCUGGGGAAUGAAGGAGCAGGGUGGUGGCCAGAAGGGAGGGGUGACAGGGGACAGGAAGGAUAGAUGGGUGGGAUGUGUACCCCCACCUCGGGGCUUCUCAGAAAGACUGUGGCUGGGGCCCCUGGGUGGCUCAGUGGGUUAAAGCUUCUGCCUUCGGCUCAGGUCAUGAUCCCGGGGUCCUGGGAUCGAGCCCCGCAUCGGGCUCUCUGCUCAGCAGGGGACCUUCUUCCUCCUCUCUCUCUCUGCCUGCCUCUCUGCCUACUUGUGAUCUCUGUCAAAUAAAUAAAUAAAAUCGUAAAAAAGAAAAAAGAAAGACCGUGGCUCCAACCUCCCAAGAAACGUGGGUUUUUCAUAGUUGCCGAAGAUCAAGGCUUUCCCAGCCUGUGACACAGAUUUGGCCCCAGGUGGUUAUAUCUGGGAGG